UACGUAGGGAGCAAGCGUUGUCCGGAAUCAUUGGGCGUAAAGCGCGCGUAGGCGGCCCUGUAAGUCCGUUGUGAAAGUCAAAGGCUCAACCUUUGAAAGCCGAUGGAUACUGCAGUACUAGAGUGCGGAAGGGGCAAUCGGAAUUCUUGGUGUAGCGGUGAAAUGGCGUAGAUAUCAAGAGGAACACCUGAGGUGAAGACGGGUUGCUGGGCCGACACUGACGCUGAUGCGCGAAAGCCAGGGGAGCAAACGGG
rnacentral:rRNA from 1 species